AGCUCACCCAGCCCGCCGCGGUGCUGGGGCUCGGCUGGGGGGUGCCGCUGCCGUCGGGCGUGCUGCGCCUUGGCCAAGCGGCUGACGUACCCCCGAAUCGCGGCUGACUUCCUAGCGGGGUGCCUUGCACGGGGGCGGCGUUUGCGGUGUUCUGCGUGCCCGGUGGCAAAAAAAGGGGAAAUUUCGACCGGUUGUUGGGAGAGGGACCGGUUUGUUAGCGUAUGGAAGAAGGGUUUGCCGCUUGUUCUCACGCUUAUGCUUCAAGCGGGACUAAGCGUUUCCAUGGUUCCAUCUUUAAGCAUUUUUGCAGGGAUUUUCGCCGGGGCGCAGAGGAAGAGGCGGUGCGGGCCGGGCGCGGGGCUCCCGCCGGGGGAGCCCCCCAAGGCGGGCAGCCAGCGGAGGGAGGAUUUCGGUGGGUGAUGGGAGCGGUUGUUCCCGGCCCACACCUUGUGAGCAGUGCCAGCCACAGCCACGUGAAUUUAAAUAUUACGAGAGGGAGCAAAGUCCAACGUGGACACCUCUGCGGCGGUUUGCCUCUGCCUCACAGCAAGCUGUGCAACGCUGAUACCGUGGUCCAGAUAACACCGACUGAAUAAAACAGCGAGCAGAGGUUACUGAAGUGAACGGUAGUAACAAUUGUUUAUGUAGUUAAUCGAGUUAGUGAUAGAUGUGUCAGUGGAUUGAUGCGUACAACAGGGCAGCUUCCAUGCACGGGCAUGUGAAAAGCCUGAACUAGGAUUCCCUGGAACACAACAAAGAAGUUCAGCUGCAGGACACGCUACAGGGAAGACUGACUUCAUGAGAAAGAGGGAGGAAUCGGUUGGUUUGUGUGUGGAUUUGUGUUACCAUGAUCAUCUCCAUAGUACUGGAUUUCAUUCAUGAUAAGAGCUGACUUAUAAAUGAUUUCACAGUAAUGAAAGA